GUACGCAUCGAUCAUAGAGAAUAAUUUGAGCACGCAUUUAAAACUCGUAGAAUUCGUAAUUUGAAAUUCGAAUUCCGUGUGGCGACAAUCCGAUGCGGUCAGCAGACGUUUAAAACAUAACUGUAGUUGUAGUUAGUAGCUGCCGUGUAAGGAGAAUUUAGCUUCAAGUGGAAACGGAGCACAGAAUGAGGUCGCAUAUAAUCCAACAACAGUGAACGGGACAUCACAAGGAACUAUGUGGUCUGGGGCGCAAAGGGAAAACGAAAUCGCCUUAAGAUUACCGAGAGCACUUGACAUUGACGAUAUAAUUCAUGUGAGUGGACAAUUGAAAUCAAACCCGGAGAAAUUUUGUGUAGCACUUACAUCUGGAAAUUAUGAUAACAUUGCCGCUGAAGUGGAGGCCCAAUUUUCACAGGAAGAUAAAAUUAUUUUAAGAACAUCAGUAAAUGGUUUUAUAGAAGAGAAUGAUGUGGAAAGAGUUAAAGCAUCAGAUUUUUUCCCAUCAACAGAUUUCUCCAUACGUUUCGUGAUAAAACCACAAGAUGAGUCAAUCAUCGAUAUAUAUGUUGGAGAGAGUGCCUUAGACAGUAUCAGCCUUAAACAUAACAUGGGUCAGAUCACGCAUUUAACGUUAAGUCAUGACAUCAGAAGAGUAGACGAGCUUAGUUUUAAAUUUGCUUAACACGUUACUUUGAGUAUGUAACCAAACGGUGAUUACAAUAUUAGUUCCCGUUAACGGUUGCCUCAUAUUUUUAGCAUUUAAAAGGGCAUCUUGAGACAGAUCUUUGAAACUUGAAAAUAAUCGAUGGUACCUAUGGUAUGUGGAUUUAUUUUAGGCUAAAUUAUUAAUGCAAAAAUACUGUAGUAUGAUGUGAAUUUAUAUGCAACUAGCUGACCCGGCAAAUGUUGUUUUGCCAUGUAAAUUAUUUUUAGAGUUAGACCGUUUCUUGGACAUUGCAACAUUACUUUAUUUUUCUAAAAUAAACGUAGCCUAAGUUGCUCUUUAUUACAUCAGCUAAAUGCCAAUAAAAGUCGCGUCAAAAUCGAUCCAGCCAUUUCAGAGAUUAGUCCAUACAAACAGACAGACAGACAAAAAUUUUAAAAAUGUUAUUUCGGUGUUAUAUUCAAGUACAUGUAGUAAAAAACGGUUAUUUGAAUAUUACAAACAGACACUCAAAAUUUAUUUAUAUGUAUAGAUUGUGUACUGUUUGCCUUAUUUUAUUUUGUUUGCGUUGAUAACAAGACUUUUUGGUUACUGAAGUAGCACCCUCUUCAUUUUGUCUCCAUUUUGUUAAGUACAAGUAUACUACUUAGAAGUAUUAAUUAAUAUCUCAGUAUUAUUUGGUGUUGUGUUAUUGUAUUAUUUGUCGAUCUUAUACGACACGUGAUUUUUAUUGUUUACUAGCUGACCCAGCAAACGUUGUAUUGCCGAUAUUAAAAUCGCGAUACAAAAGUAACUGUUGAUCGUAGAUGGGUGAAAAGUUGUAUGUAUUUUUAAUGCCGACUGAUAAUCAAACAAAUUUAAAAAAAAUGUCACAAAAUUUAAAAAAAAAUAUUUGGCAUGGACAACCCUUAACAUUUAGAGGUAUGAAAAAUAGAUGUUGUCCGAAUCUCAGACCUACCCAAUAUGCAAUCAAAAUUUCAUGAAAUUCAAAUCGGUCAAGCCGUUUCGAAGGAGUUUAACUACAAACACCGCGACAUGAGAAUUUUAUAUAUUAGAUUUACAGUGCAAGACGUAUUCUCCUAAAUUACCUAUGAGAACGUAUGAUGUUCACUAUAACAAGUAUCUAGUUUUUUUUUUCAAUAGAUAUUUGUUCUAUGUAGUUGCUUUAUUCAACUAUAAAUGUUAAAUGAUAAAAGUAACGAUAGUUUCUACCCCCCUUAUUCAUAAUAGUCUGCUAACUUAAAGCAUUGCUAAUUCUCACUCUGUCUUCUUCUAUUGACCUGAAUCAGAAUGAGAAAAAGCACACCUAAGCGGCUGUUUAAAGUUAGCGGACCAUUAUGAAUAAGGGGGUACAGAUUUAUAUUUUGAAGUAGCCCACCAUUUUCCAAAGCAGUUACAUUUUGUAACAGUUAUUUUUAUCGAGCUUUAUCUGUAUUCCUACAUAAAUGAUAUAUUAUUCUAUGAAUAAGUGUGAAAUAAUUGUAUAAUUAUACAUAAUGUUUUUUAUUAAAUGAAGCAUUAAUGAAA